AGAAAUUACAUGUUUUUUUUUUUUUUUUGUUAUGAUGUUUCAAACUGGUUAACGUCAUUAAACCAUAAAAGGGCUGCCAUCAGAGGAAUAAACAUAUCUUUCUCACUACUCCGUCUUUUUGGGCUACGUUCUCAAAGAAAACCAGAGGACCUCUUUCUCAAGAUGGAAAAGAAAACCGUUGUUGACAGAUAAUAGAUCUAUUUUCUGUAUUAAAGUGUAUAUAUAUAUACAUAUAUAGAACUGUACAGUGUGUUAUUAAUGGACUAGAAUUUGUUUGAAAUCUGAAUGUUAAUUAUACCUUGCAUUGCACUUAUUAAAACACUUACCUGCAGAUAUUGUACUAUGCCAUACAGAAAACAAUCCUUAUGGUAUCAAUAUAAUCUUUUUUUUUUUUUUUAAUUGUAUGUGUAGCUUGCUACGAAGCAUUGAUCUCGGUGUUAGUUUAUAGGAUACAUGCAUGUUAAUGCAAUAUGUCAGGAAAGUCUGUCAGUGGAAUGUUUGAAUUAAUUUGGCCUAAAAUGUAUAUUGUAUACAGUAUUUGUAUAUUUAUAUAUACUGUGUGAAUUUUUAAUAGCUGCAAUUUUUAUUUUGUUUUGUAUUACAUUAAGUAUUGUUGCACAUGUACUUACAACAAUUAUAAUAUAAAUUUUUUUUAUUUAGAAUUUUGCUUAUUUUUAUCACCAGUUAACUUUUGUAUGACAUAGCCGAACACGGUACUGAAAUUCACACUUUUGGGCUUAAAAAUUUAGACAUUGCGGUAAAGUAUAAUAAUAUUCUGGUGUCAUCACUUCAGUAGUAUAAGAAUUAUAUAAAAUAUUUGAUCAGCAUGAAGACAUUUGAAUUCAAGCGUUUAGAUUUAGGUAAAAUAGGUAUUUACCUGGAGCGUGCAAAUGAUAAGAGCUAUUGUACUGUACUGGUACCAAACACAACAGUACUUUUAGUAACAAAUUCCUGGCCGACCUCUCAUCUCAACCUGUUUGCAUGGUUAUUUUCUUGCAAAUCAAGGUUUAUAAAAAUUUUGCCAUACAUAAUUCUUGAAUAAUCCUAAUAUCAUCUUGAAAUUAUAAUGUGGUGGUGCUAAAAUCAUCAGUGUUCAGGUGGUUUUCUUUGCUAAUUUUACUGCAUUUUAAUAUGAACUAGUCAUUGAUAAUUAUAACUUAACCAGAAUAAAUAGCUCUCAAUACUAAAAUGUUGGUUAAGACAGUUACAAAAUUCUACCAUUCUUUGAAGUCUGUAAUUAAAUGUAAUGAAGUAUUAGGUUUUCUUUUUUAUCCUGUUGUAAAUUAUAAUAAAUUUUUAUCCUGUUAUAAAUUAAAUUAAAUAAAGAUAUGACAAGUAGAACAUUA